UGUUUAGCGGGUAUACCUACCUGAUCCGAGGUCAAAGUUGAAAAAAGGCUUAAUGGAUGCUAGACCUUUGCUGAUAGAGAGUGCGACUUGUGCUGCGCUCCGAAACCAGUAGGCCGGCUGCCAAUUACUUUAAGGCGAGUCUCCAGCAAAGCUAGAGACAAGACGCCCAACACCAAGCAAAGCUUGAGGGUACAAAUGACGCUCGAACAGGCAUGCCCUUUGGAAUACCAAAGGGCGCAAUGUGCGUUCAAAGAUUCGAUGAUUCACUGAAUUCUGCAAUUCACACUACUUAUCGCAUUUCGCUGCGUUCUUCAUCGAUGCCAGAACCAAGAGAUCCGUUGUUGAAAGUUGUAAUUAUUAAUUUGUUACUGACGCUGAUUGCAAUUACAAAAGGUUUAUGUUUGUCCUAGUGGUGGGCGAACCCACCAAGGAAACAAGAAGUACGCAAAAGACAAGGGUGAAUAAUUCAGCAAGGCUGUAACCCCGAGAGGUUCCAGCCCGCCUUCAUAUUUGUGUAAUGAUCCCUCCGCAGGUUCCUUACCGGGAA
rnacentral:misc_RNA from 1 species